GAUGAAGAACGUAGCGAAAUGCGAUAAGUAGUGUGAAUUGCAGAAUUCCGUGAAUCAUCGAAUCUUUGAACGCACAUUGCGCCUUCUGGUAUUCCGGAAGGCAUGCCUGUUCGAGAGUCAUUAUCAACCGUUUCGAUCCCUUUCUUUCAGAAAUUACAAAGAGGAAAAGGGUUUGGUUAUGGUGGAGGAGGGAAAGGGAGCGUUUAGCCUGUAAAAAAAGAGGCUGUGUUCCGCCUCCCCCCCAAAAUUGUACAGGCGGUCGUGUGCGCCCACGCAUCGAGGUGUUGUAAAAGCUGCCACGGCACUUUUCACCUGUGCAGUGCGAGAUUGGCCAGCCGGUUUAAAAACCCCUCCAAACAAUCAAAGGUUGACCUCGGAUCAGGUAGGGAUACCCGCUGAACUUAAGCAUAUCAAUAAGCGGAGGA
rnacentral:misc_RNA from 1 species